UACGUAGGUGGCAAGCGUUGUCCGGAUUUACUGGGCGUAAAGAGCGCGCAGGCGGUCGUUCAAGUCGCGUGUGAAAGCCCCCGGCUCAACUGGGGAGGGUCACGCGAUACUGAUCGACUCGAAGGCAGGAGAGGGUAGUGGAAUUCCCGGUGUAGUGGUGGAAUGCGUAGAUAUCGGGAGGAACACCAGUGGCGAAGGCGACUACCUGGCCUGUUCUUGACGCUGAGGCGCGAAAGCUAGGGGAGCAAACGGG
rnacentral:rRNA from 1 species